AGUGCCAGGCAGUAGGAGCAAGCUGCCUCAUCCCUGGGCCCACAAAGCACUGGGGUGAAACCGCCUUAGCUCCAAGCUGAGGUGGUUUCACCCCUGCGCCUUGCAGGGCUGGGGAUGAAGCAGCUUGCCCCUCCCUUCUGACAUC